ACCCGCACAAGCGUGGAGCAUGUGGUUUAAUUCGUACGAUACGCGAAGAACCUUACCUGGCCUUGACAUACUAAAAAGCUUUUAAGAGAUUUAGAGUGUGCUAGCUUGCUAGAAUUUAGAUACAGGUGCUGCACGGCUGUCGUCAGCUCGUGUCGUGAGAUGUUGGGUUAAGUCCCGCAACGAGCGCAACCCUCGUGUUUAGUUGCUAACAGUUCGGCUGAGAACUCUAAACAGACUGCCUACGCAAGUAGGAGGAAGGUGAGGACGACGUCAAGUCAUCAUGGCCCUUACGGCCAGGGCUACACACGUGCUACAAUGGGGUAUACAAAGAGCAGCGAUACGGUGACGUGGAGCAAAUCUAGAAAAUGCCUCUCAGUUCGGAUUGUAGUCUGCAACUCGACUACAUGAAGUUGGAAUCGCUAGUAAUCGUAGAUCAGCAAUGCUACGGUGAAUACGUUCCCGGGUCUU
rnacentral:rRNA from 1 species